rnacentral:rRNA from 1 species
CGGCCGCGUCGACGCCAGCGGGUUAAGCCGGGAACUUUAAGGAUACUGCCAGUGACAAACUGGAGGAAGGCGGGGACGACGUCAAGUCAUCAUGGCCCUUACGACCAGGGCUACACACGUGCUACAAUGGUAGGUACAGAGGGUUGCUACACAGCGAUGUGAUGCUAAUCUCAAAAAGCCUAUCGUAGUCCGGAUUGGAGUCUGCAACUCGACUCCAUGAAGUCGGAAUCGCUAGUAAUCGCGGAUCAGAAUGCCGCGGUGAAUACGUUCCCGGGUCGACGCGGCCG